AUGGCUGACGCCAACGAGAAGGCCCCUCCAAAAUCGAACCUCGAAGCAGACCUGAUCGCUUCGAUCUCCCCCUCCUCCACUUCCUCCGGUGCUCGGAAUGCCGUGGCGAUCGAGAGCCAGUUCGCAGACCUCGCAAUCUCUGACGAGCUACCCAAGCCUUCGGGAUGGGGCGAUGAUGCCGUCCUCGGUAUCGCCGGAAGCGAUGAGAUAACCGGAGAGAUCACUGGAGGAAAAGUGCAGCCGGUGGCGACAGCGGAUUCGAGGCCUCGGUUUCCGCAGCGUCACGCGGAGCCGGAUUGUACUUACUACUUGAAGUUCGGAACUUGCCGCUUCGGGAUGAAGUGCAAGUUCAACCAUCCGGCGCGAAAGAAGAAGAAUAGGGUGAAAGCGAGUGGGAGUAGCAGCAGCGGGAGCAACGACAUCAGUAAUAAAGCUUUUCCGCCGGACGAUGAUCAGACUCCUAAAGAAGAAUAUGAAGAUCUUGUUCCAAAUAUUUCAGCUGAAGUCGAUUUGUUGAAGGGAAGAAUGGAGGCAAUGCAAUUUAAGAUUGCUGAUGAGACUGAAAAAGGAUUCUAUUUGAAGAAGUUUAAAGAGACAGAACAAAAGGUUGCUAAAGAGAAAAGAAAGGAAACUGUUUCAGAAGGUAGUGCUCAGGAGGAAUGUAAGUAUUACUCAACGCCUGGAGGAUGCAAAUUUGGGGAAUCUUGCAGAUACCUACAUUACGAAGGGAAAGAAAGGAAAACAGAAGUUGCAAAGGUUGAGCUGAAUUUUCUAGGUCUUCCACUUCGUCCAGGAGGAAAAGAGUGUCCGUACUAUAUGCGCAUUGGGAGCUGCAAAUUUGCCACCAACUGCAGAUUUCACCAUCCGGAUCCUACUAAUGUGGUUUCAAGAGAUCCAGUGUUGGAGCAUGAGAAUGGCGAUAUUCCACAACAAAAUGUUCAAGCAUCUUCUCAGCUGAAUGUUCCAGUAUGGUCUGCUGACCAAAGGGCAUUGAAUGAGCACUGUGCUCCUUUUUUAGCUCCAGCAUCCUCAUACAGUGCGGGAAUGAUUCCACCUCGGGGAAUGUAUCCAUCUCCAGAAUGGAGUGGGUACCAUCAGGUUCCAUUAGGUCCAUACUACCCUCCUGGAAUCUCUUUUCAUCAUUUUCCAGCUCCUCCUGUGAAUCAUCCUAUGUACAGAGGAGCAGAUGUACCGGGACAUCAAGAACUGCCCUCCGAUGAAUACCCAGAGAGACCUGGCCAACCUGAAUGUCAACAUUUUGUUAAAAGUGGGUUUUGUAAAUUCAAGGCCAAGUGCAAGUAUCACCAUCCAAGGUCACUUGUGCCUCCACCAACAGCCGGAGCUCUUAGUCCUCUUGGCUUGCCACUCAGAUCUGAUCAGCCCGUGUGCACAUACUAUGAACGUUAUGGAGUCUGCAAGUUUGGACCAGCUUGCAUGUACAAUCACCCUUUUAAUUUUGGUCAUCCUGUAUCCGCAGCAGGGCCACCUCUCUCUGCUCAAUACCUCACUUCAGGAAACUACACGGUCUAG
rnacentral:rRNA from 1 species